rnacentral:lncRNA from 1 species
UGUGUAUGAAGGACUGAAAGGACAAAAAAGUGGUUGUCUGGUAAAAUCAAAAUCAGAAGAAAAUUGUAGUCCACCAUCCCUUAAAACAGAAGUCAAGGAGUCAACUGUUGCAUCAAAUGAUGAAUGCAUUGCGUAUGAAGGACUGGCAGGACAAAAGAGUGCCUUUUUGGUACAAUCAGAACAGGGACACAAUUGUAGUCCGCCAUCUGUUGAACUAAAAGACAAGAAGCCAAAUGUUGCUCUACCGGAGACAUGCAUUGCAGAAGAAGGACUGACCGGACAAAAAAGAGACUUUAUUGUAAAAUCAGAACUGGUAGAAAACCGUAGUCCACCAUCUCUUAAAACAGAAGUCAAGGAGUCAACUGUUGCAUCAAAUGAUGAAUGCAUUGCGUAUGAAGGACUGGCAGGACAAAAGAGUGCCUUUUUGGUACAAUCAGAACAGGGACACAAUUGUAGUCCGCCAUCUGUUGAACUAAAAGACAAGAAGUCAAAUGUUGCUCUACCGGAGACAUGCAUUGCAGAAGAAGGACUGGCAGGACAAAAAAGAGACUUUAUUGUCAAAUCAGAACUGGUAGAAAACCGUAGUCCACCAUCUCUUAAAACAAAAGUCAAGGAGUCAACUGUUGCAUCAAAUGAUGAAUGCAUUGCGUAUGAAGGACUGGAAGGACAAAAGAGUGCCUUUUUGGUAAAAUCAGAACAGGGACACAAUUGUAGCCCGCCAUCUGUUGAACUAAAAGACAAGAAGCCAAAUGUUGCUCUACCGGAGACAUGCAUUGCAGAAGAAGGACUGACCGGACAAAAAAGAGACUUUAUUGUAAAAUCAGAACUGGUAGAAAACCGUAGUCCACCAUCAAUUAAAACAGAAGUCAAGGAGUCCACUGUUGCAUCAAAUGAUGAAUGCAUUGCGUAUGAAGGACUGGCAGGACAAAAGAGUGCCUUUUUGGUACAAUCAGAACAGGGACACAAUUGUAGUCCGCCAUCUGUUGAACUAAAAGACAAGAAGGCAAAUGUUGCUCUACCGGAGACAUGCAUUGCAGAAGAAGGACUGGCAGGACAAAAAAGAGACUUUAUUGUAAAAUCAGAACUUGUAGAAAACCGUAGUCGACCAUCUCUUAAAACAGAACUCAAGGAGCCAACUGUUGCUUCAGCAGAGGACUGCAUUGCAGAUAAAGGACUGACAGGACCAAAAAGUGACAGUAUGGUCAAAUCCGUGACUAAGACAGUGCCUGAAAUUCAGGGGUCAGCUGAGAGGGAGAUAACCAAGAUUCAACCGAAUAAGCAGAAAAAUGAAAAAACAAAGAAAAUUAGAGUACCCAAGUCCCAAUCUCUCAAGCAAUGCAGAAAACCAUUUCCAAAGAAAACGGCGUUUUCCAAGCACAAGCUAAAAUCUGGUAACAUUAGUACUGGUUCUGAUGAUUCUGUGCUUUUCGUUCCAGAUAUUGUGGUUAAAAUGAACUGGCCACAAAAGAAAAAACUACCUGGUAUAUCUGCAAACAAACGCUGUAGUGGCGAGAGUCAGAACUGCAGUAAGGUGAAAAAAUUCAAAGAACACAGACAAGAAAGACGAGAUAAUCCUGACAGAACCUCAACGACCCAUAGAGAAAACCUACAGAAAGUGACAGAGAAAGUGUCUGAUCAAUCAAAUGACAUACCAUCCCAGCAGUCAGAAAAUAAACCGGAGCUGCAUGGUAUUCUGUCAGUGAAUAAAAUAAAAAGAACCGAGCCAAAGAAAGUGAGAUUUGACUUGUAUGGGUCCAAAACAGAAAAACAGUACUAUGCCCCAGAACGGCGUUUUUCAGCUCCUGCUACAUUAACGGUCUCUGAUUGCAAAGACAAUACCGAUAUGCUUUCUGCUAAACAAAAAGUUCUCAACCAGUGGAGUAGCACCUUUAUACCUAAAACAAAGAAGACUUUUCAUCCCAGGUCACCACAGGAAAAAAAAACACAGAAACCUCAGGACCUCUUAAAGUCAAAUAUGAGUGCAUUAAAAAGCCAUUUGACUCACAGAGCC